UGGGGAAUUUUGGACAAUGGGGGAAACCCUGAUCCAGCCAUCCCGCGUGUGCGAUGAAGGCCUUCGGGUUGUAAAGCACUUUUGGCAGGAAAGAAACGUCGCGGGUUAAUACCCCGCGAAACUGACGGUACCUGCAGAAUAAGCACCGGCUAACUACGUGCCAGCAGCCGCGGUAAUACGUAGGGUGCAAGCGUUAAUCGGAAUUACUGGGCGUAAAGCGUGCGCAGGCGGUUCGGAAAGAAAGAUGUGAAAUCCCAGAGCUUAACUUUGGAACUGCAUUUUUAACUACCGGGCUAGAGUGUGUCAGAGGGAGGUGGAAUUCCGCGUGUAGCAGUGAAAUGCGUAGAUAUGCGGAGGAACACCGAUGGCGAAGGCAGCCUCCUGGGAUAACACUGACGCUCAUGCACGAAAGCGUGGGGAGCAAACAGGAUUAGAUACCCUGGUAGUCCACGCCCUAAACGAUGUCAAACUAGCUGUUGGGGGCCUUUCGGGCCUUGGUAGCGCAGCUAACGCGUGAAGUUGACCGCCUGGGGAGUACGGUCGCAAGAUUAAAAACUUAAAGGAAUUGAC
rnacentral:rRNA from 1 species